rnacentral:rRNA from 1 species
UUGAACGCUGGCGGUAUGCUUUACACAUGCAAGUCGAACGGCAGCACGGGGCAACCUGGUGGCGAGUGGCGAACGGGUGAGUAACAUAUCGGAACAUAUCCGGAAGUGGGGGAUAACGUAGCGAAAGUUACGCUAAUACCGCAUAUGCCCUGAGGGGGAAAGUGGGGGAUCGCAAGACCUCACGCUUUCGGAGUGGCCGAUAUCAGAUUAGCUAGUUGGUGGGGUAAAGGCCCACCAAGGCUACGAUCUGUAGCUGGUCUGAGAGGACGACCAGCCACACUGGAACUGAGACACGGUCCAGACUCCUACGGGAGGCAGCAGUGGGGAAUUUUGGACAAUGGGCGCAAGCCUGAUCCAGCCAUACCGCGUGAGUGAAGAAGGCCUUCGGGUUGUAAAGCUCUUUCAGCCGGAAAGAAAUCGAGCAGAUUAACACUCUGUAUGGAUGACGGUACCGGAAGAAGAAGCACCGGCUAACUACGU